rnacentral:rRNA from 1 species
AGAGUUUGAUCCUGGCUCAGGAUGAACGCUAGCGACAGGCUUAACACAUGCAAGUCGAGGGGCAGCACAGGUAGCAAUACCGGGUGGCGACCGGCGCACGGGUGAGUAACGCGUAUGCAACUUACCUAUCAGAGGGGGAUAACCCGGCGAAAGUCGGACUAAUACCGCAUGAAGCAGGGGCCCCGCAUGGGGAUAUUUGCUAAAGAUUCAUCGCUGAUAGAUAGGCAUGCGUUCCAUUAGGCAGUUGGCGGGGUAACGGCCCACCAAACCGACGAUGGAUAGGGGUUCUGAGAGGAAGGUCCCCCACAUUGGUACUGAGACACGGACCAAACUCCUACGGGAGGCAGCAGUGAGGAAUAUUGGUCAAUGGCCGAGAGGCUGAACCAGCCAAGUCGCGUGAGGGAUGAAGGUUCUAUGGAUCGUAAACCUCUUUUAUAAGGGAAUAAAGUGCGGGACGUGUCCCGUUUUGUAUGUACCUUAUGAAUAAGGAUCGGCUAACUCCGUGCCAGCAGCCGCGGUAAUACGGAGGAUCCGAGCGUUAUCCGGAUUUAUUGGGUUUAAAGGGUGCGUAGGCGGCCUUUUAAGUCAGCGGUGAAAGUCUGUGGCUCAACCAUAGAAUUGCCGUUGAAACUGGGGGGCUUGAGUAUGUUUGAGGCAGGCGGAAUGCGUGGUGUAGCGGUGAAAUGCAUAGAUAUCACGCAGAACCCCGAUUGCGAAGGCAGCCUGCCAAGCCAUGACUGACGCUGAUGCACGAAAGCGUGGGGAUCAAACAGGAUUAGAUACCCUGGUAGUCCACGCAGUAAACGAUGAUCACUAGCUGUUUGCGAUACACUGUAAGCGGCACAGCGAAAGCGUUAAGUGAUCCACCUGGGGAGUACGCCGGCAACGGUGAAACUCAAAGGAAUUGACGGGGGCCCGCACAAGCGGAGGAACAUGUGGUUUAAUUCGAUGAUACGCGAGGAACCUUACCCGGGUUUGAACGCAUUCGGACCGAGGUGGAAACACCUUUUCUAGCAAUAGCCGUUUGCGAGGUGCUGCAUGGUUGUCGUCAGCUCGUGCCGUGAGGUGUCGGCUUAAGUGCCAUAACGAGCGCAACCCUUGCCACUAGUUACUAACAGGUAAAGCUGAGGACUCUGGUGGGACUGCCAGCGUAAGCUGCGAGGAAGGCGGGGAUGACGUCAAAUCAGCACGGCCCUUACAUCCGGGGCGACACACGUGUUACAAUGGCGUGGACAAAGGGAGGCCACCUGGUGACAGGGAGCGAAUCCCCAAACCACGUCUCAGUUCGGAUCGGAGUCUGCAACCCGACUCCGUGAAGCUGGAUUCGCUAGUAAUCGCGCAUCAGCCAUGGCGCGGUGAAUACGUUCCCGGGCCUUGCACACACCGCCCGUCA